AUUGAACGCUGGCGGCAUGCCUUACACAUGCAAGUCGAACGGUAACAGGUCUUCGGGUGCUGACGAGUGGCGAACGGGUGAGUAAUACAUCGGAACGUGCCCAGACGUGGGGGAUAACGCGGCGAAAGCUGUGCUAAUACCGCAUACGAUCUAAGGAUGAAAGCAGGGGACCGCAAAGCCUUGCUCGGUUUGGGCGGCUGAUGGCAGAUUAGGUAGUUGUUGGGAUAAAAGCUUACCAAGCCGACGAUCUGUAGCUGGUCUGAGAGGACGACCAGCCACACUGGGACUGAGACACGGCCCAGACUCCUACGGGAGGCAGCAGUGGGGAAUUUUGGACAAUGGGCGAAAGCCUGAUCCAGCAAUGCCGCGUGCAGGAUGAAGGCCUUCGGGUUGUAAACUGCUUUUGUACGGAACGAAAAGGCUCUGGCUAAUACCUGGGGCACAUGACGGUACCGUAAGAAUAAGCACCGGCUAACUACGUG
rnacentral:rRNA from 1 species